GAUGAACGCUGGCGGCGUGCUUAACACAUGCAAGUCAAACGAAGCACUUUAUUUGAUUUCCUUCGGGACUGAUUAUUUUGUGACUGAGUGGCGGACGGGUGAGUAACGCGUGGGUAACCUGCCUUGUACAGGGGGAUAACAGUUGGAAACGGCUGCUAAUACCGCAUAAGCGCACAGCAUCGCAUGAUGCAGUGUGAAAAACUCCAGUGGUAUAAGAUGGACCCGCGUUGGAUUAGCUAGUUGGUGAGGUAACGGCCCACCAAGGCGACGAUCCAUAGCCGACCUGAGAGGGUGACCGGCCACAUUGGGACUGAGACACGGCCCAAACUCCUACGGGAGGCAGCAGUGGGGAAUAUUGCACAAUGGGCGAAAGCCUGAUGCAGCGACGCCGCGUGAGCGAAGAAGUAUUUCGGUAUGUAAAGCUCUAUCAGCAGGGAAGAUAAUGACGGUACCUGACUAAGAAGCACCGGCUAAAUACGUGCCAGCAGCCGCGGUAAUACGUAUGGUGCAAGCGUUAUCCGGAUUUACUGGGUGUAAAGGGAGCGCAGGCGGUGCGGCAAGUCUGAUGUGAAAGCCCGGGGCUCAACCCCGGUACUGCAUUGGAAACUGUCGUACUAGAGUGUCGGAGGGGUAAGCGGAAUUCCUAGUGUAGCGGUGAAAUGCGUAGAUAUUAGGAGGAGCACCAGUGGCGAAGGCGGCUUACUGGACGAUAACUGACGCUGAGGCUCGAAAGCGUGGGGAGCAAACA
rnacentral:rRNA from 1 species